rnacentral:rRNA from 1 species
AGGAUGAACGCUGGCGGCGUGCUUAACACAUGCAAGUCACGGGGGCCCAGCAAUGGGCAACCGGCGAACGGGUGCGUAACACGUGAGCAAUCUACCGAAAUGAGGGGGAUAGCCGGCCCAACGGCCGGGUAAUACCGCAUACGCUCGAGACCAGGCAUUUGGACUCGAGGAAACCUCCGGGGCAUUUCGAGGAGCUCGCGGCCUAUCAGCUAGUUGGUGAGGUAACGGCUCACCAAGGCGACGACGGGUAG